GGGCCCGCACAAGCGGUGGAGCAUGUGGUUUAAUUCGAUGCAACGCGAAGAACCUUACCAGGGUUUGACAUCCUGCGAAUCUCUUGGAAACGAGAGAGUGCCUUCGGGAACGCAGUGACAGGUGGUGCAUGGCUGUCGUCAGCUCGUGUCGUGAGAUGUUGGGUUAAGUCCCGCAACGAGCGCAACCCUUAUCCUUAGUUGCCAUCACGUUUGGGUGGGCACUCUAGGGAAACUGCCGGUGCUAAGCCGGAGGAAGGCGGGGAUGACGUCAAGUCCUCAUGGCCCUUACGGGUAGGGCUACACACGUGCUACAAUGGCAGUGACAAUGGGAUAA
rnacentral:rRNA from 1 species